rnacentral:rRNA from 1 species
GACGAACGCUGGCGGCGUGCUUAACACAUGCAAGUCGAACGGUAAGGCCCUUCGGGGUACACGAGUGGCGAACGGGUGAGUAACACGUGGGUGAUCUGCCCUGCACUUCGGGAUAAGCCUGGGAAACUGGGUCUAAUACCGGAUAGGACCACUGCCUGCAUGGGUGGUGGUGGAAAGCUUUUGCGGUGUGGGAUGGGCCCGCGGCCUAUCAGCUUGUUGGUGGGGUGAUGGCCUACCAAGGCGACGCCGGGUAGCCGGCCUGAGAGGGUGACCGGCCACACGGGGACUGAGAUACGGCCCAGACUCCUACGGGAGGCAGCAGUGGGGAAGAUUGCACAAUGGGCGCAAGCCUGAUGCAGCGACGCCGCGUGAGGGAUGACGGCCUUCGGGUUGUAAACCUCUUUCAGCACCGACGAAGCGCAAGUGACGGUAGGUGCAGAAGAAGGACCGGCCAACUACGUGCCAGCCGCCGCGGUAA